UGAGCAAUCUGCCCUUCUCAUCGGAAUAAGCGUUGGAAACGACGUCUAAUGCCGAAUACGACCUCCUUUCGCAUGAUCGGAGGUGGAAAGCUCCGGCGGAGAAGGAUGAGCUCGCGGCCUAUCAGCUAGUUGGUGUGGGUAACGGCCCACCAAGGCGACGACGGGUAGCCGGCCUGAGAGGGCGACCGGCCACACUGGGACUGAGACACGGCCCAGACUCCUA
rnacentral:rRNA from 1 species